rnacentral:rRNA from 1 species
UACGGGGGGAGCAAGCGUUGUUCGGAUUUACUGGGCGUAAAGGGCGCGUAGGCGGUCAGCACAAGUCAGUUGUGAAAUCUCCGGGCUUAACUCGGAAAGGUCAACUGAUACUGUGCGACUAGAGUGCAGAAGGGGCAACUGGAAUUCUCGGUGUAGCGGUGAAAUGCGUAGAUAUCGAGAGGAACACCUGCGGCGAAGGCGGGUUGCUGGGCUGACACUGACGCUGAGGCGCGAAAGCGUGGGGAGCAAACAGG